AAAACCGUAAACCGAUCAGGCUAAACAAAGCAACAAUCCUUGUUUUAGCGGCAGCUUCUUAUGCGUUUUUAAUUUCUUUUCAAAGUUCGUUUUUUAGCACCAAGAAACGAAAAUGGGCAUUCAUUGUUAUUGGAAUGUGUUUCAAAUCUUUUUCGAAAGUGGUGUUGGUAUGGAAACCACACUGUAUUAGCCCGUCGGUUUAUUUUUGCUCACCAUUUUUUU
rnacentral:lncRNA from 1 species